rnacentral:misc_RNA from 1 species
UAUAUUAUUUUCUGCAGCUGUCCGAGAAUUAAACAUUAAAAAACAGUAAACAAUUUAUAAAUAAAUAAUGUUUCGUCGUGGCAAAUUGGCAUUUUUAAAUACCAAAGAUGAUCGUAUUAAAAUUAUUAACGAACGCAUCAAUUUAACCGAAAAACAUUUAAUAGAAAUGUGUUCGACUUUUUCCGCCUGUACCAGGAAGUUGGCUAAAUUUCGUGAUUCCUAUGAUGAGCUUGCGAAAUGUCUAAAACACUAUUCAGAUGAUGAAGAAAUCAAUGAAAGUUUUAGUGAUGGUUUGAAAAAUUUCACCAACGCCGUAACUAUUUUAGCCGAUUAUAUGGAUCUAAAUGUUCAUCGUAUGGAAUUGAAGAUUGUUAAUGAGUUGGCACAAUUUGAUAAUUUAUGCAAAACUACUAGAGAUAAUUUACGUACAGCUGUUAUCGCUCGUGAUAAGGAGGUCUUAAAGCAGCGUCAAAUGUUGGAAUUGAAAACAAAGUUUUCGGCUAAUAAUUCCGCUGCCGAUUCGGAGUUGCUAAAAGCUAAAAUGGAAGUAAAUCGUACGAAUAAAGAAAUCGAUGAGAUUAUUAGCAAUUUCGAGAAGCGUAAAUUGAAUGAUAUUAAAAACAUACUCGUCGAUUUUAUAUUAAUCUCCAUGAAAUAUCACACAAAAUCUUUGGAAGCUUUAUCGGCCAGUUAUUAUGAUGUCACAAAUAUCGAUGAAAGGGGAGAUUUUAUGGAAUUUCAAAAACUAAUGAAAUCGAAAAGUGAAGCACAAGAAAAGAAAUCCAUCAAAAAGGCGGCCAGUUUGAGGUCACAGUCAAUGGAAAGUUUGGAAAGAGAUCAAUUGUUGAGUCCUUUGAAAAGGAAGGGUAGAAUGAGUAAGUCUACUAAAAAUUUGGCCGAAAAUAAAACCGACGAAGAAGACGAGGAAGAGGAGGAUGAAGAAGGCGAAGAAGAGGAGGAGGGAGAGGAUGGUGAGGAUGAAGAAGAUGAUGAGGAGGAUGAGGAUGACAGUGAAAAUUCCAAGUCUGAAGAGGACUCCAUUACCGAAGCCGAAGAUGUGGGUGAAGCAAAUGCUUUGGAUACUGCCUCUAAUUUAAAGGCAAAUAAAUUGAAUUUUAAAAAACCCUUAACAAAACCUCAAGUAAAGCAUCCCUUUAAAGCGGUGGCGGCUACACAUGUAAGAUUGCAAAAGCAAUUGCAUGUGCAGUCUUAAAACUAAAAUUUUUUUGAAAUUUUUAAAAAAGUCAAUAUUUAUUUACACUUACUGUAACAUUUAAGGAGACACUAAUUAACAACAAAUUGGUUUUAAUAUUAUGCACCCAUAUCGACCACCCUCUCCAUAAGGAGCACCAAGCAAAACAGGUGCAAGCAACAUCAUUCGCAUGACAACAUUGAGUUAAUUGAAUAAACAAUGUUCUUAAGAAUACAUCUAAACAGGGAAAAAAUGCCUUUGUCACAAAACGUUGUUUAUCAGGCUCUAGCACAACGGGUAUACCACGUUUAGUUACCGCCACUAAGCGACGUGAUAGCAAAUCUAC